AUUGAACGCUGGCGGAAUGCUUUACACAUGCAAGUCGAACGGUAGAGGGGGCAACCCCUUGAGAGUGGCGAACGGGUGAGUAAUAUAUCGGAACGUGCCCAGUCGUGGGGAUAACGUAGCGAAAGUUACGCUAAUACCGCAUACGAUCUAAGGAUGAAAGCGGGGGAUCGCAAGACCUCGCGCGAUUGGAGCGGCCGAUAUCAGAUUAGGUAGUUGGUGGGGUAAAGGCUCACCAAGCCAACGAUCUGUAGCUGGUCUGAGAGGACGACCAGCCACACUGGAACUGAGACACGGUCCAGACUCCUACGGGAGGCAGCAGUGGGGAAUUUUGGACAAUGGACGCAAGUCUGAUCCAGCCAUUCCGCGUGCAGGAUGAAGGCCCUCGGGUGUAAACUGCUUUGUACGGAACGAAAGGUUUCUCUUAAUACGAGGAGCUCAUGACGGUACCGUAAGAAUAAGCACCGGCUAACUACGUGCCAGCAGCCGCGGU
rnacentral:rRNA from 1 species